rnacentral:tRNA from 1 species
GCGGGUGUAGUUCAGUGGUAGAAUGCAAGCUUCCCAAGCUUGUUAUGGCGGUUCGAUUCCGCUCGCCCGCU